AUGAUUAUAGGGGAUUUUAAUGAAAUCUUAUACUCGUCAGAGAAGGAUGGGGCCCCCCCACCAACAUCCCAAUUACAGGCGUUCCAAGAUGCCUUGUUUGAUUGCAUGCUAGAGGACAUUGGUUUCGUAGGUGACAAAUUCACAUGGUUCAGGGGCGGGCUACGAGAGAGACUAGAUCGAGCGGUCUCCAAUGCAGCUUGGCUGCUGCUACAUCCAUAUGCGGGGCUCAGUAACUUGGAGCUUGGUAAUUCAAAUCAUCGACCGUUGUUGAUGGAUACCGGGUACCUGACUGGGGUGGCGGAUAUAGUAACCCAAAGAAAGAUCGCAGGUUCGAAAUGA
rnacentral:rRNA from 1 species